UGGGGAAUAUUGGACAAUGGGGGCAACCCUGAUCCAGCCAUGCCGCGUGAGUGAUGAAGGCCUUCGGGUUGUAAAGCUCUUUUGGCGGGGACGAUGAUGACGGUACCCGCAGAAUAAGCCCCGGCUAACUUCGUGCCAGCAGCCGCGGUAAGACGAAGGGGGCUAGCGUUGUUCGGAAUUACUGGGCGUAAAGCGAGUGUAGGCGGUUGCCGUAGUCAGGUGUGAAAGCCUUGAGCUCAACUCAAGAAAUGCACUUGAUACUGGGUGACUAGAGGACCGGAGAGGAUAGUGGAAUUCCCAGUGUAGUGGUGAAAUACGUAGAGAUUGGGAAGAACACCAGUGGCGAAGGCGGCUAUCUGGACGGUUACUGACGCUAAGACUCGAAAGCGUGGGGAGCAAACAGGAUUAGAUACCCUGGUAGUCCACGCCGUAAACGAUGGGUUGCUAGACGUUGGCGAGCUUGCUCGUCAGUGUCGCAGCUAACGCGUUAA
rnacentral:rRNA from 1 species